rnacentral:rRNA from 1 species
GCGAACGUUAGCGGCGCGCCUAACACAUGCAAGUCGCACGAGAAAGGGCUUCGGCCCCAGUAAAGUGGCGCACGGGUGCGUAACACGUAGGCAAUCUUCCCUAGGGUGGGGGAUAACCUUCCGAAAGGAGGGCUAAUACCGCGUAAGACCACGACCGGUCCGCCGGUUGAGGUCAAAGGCGGCCUCUUCAUGAAAGCUACCGCCCAAGGUCGAGCCUGCGGCCCAUCAGCUAGUUGGUAAGGUAACGGCUUACCAAGGCUAAGACGGGUAGCUGGUCUGAGAGGAUGAUCAGCCACACUGGCACUGAAACACGGGCCAGACUCCUACGGGAGGCAGCAGUGGGGAAUCUUGGUCAAUGGACGCAAGUCUGAACCAGCGACGCCGCGUGAGUGAUGAAGGCCUUCGGGUUGUAAAGCUCUGUGGGGAGGGACGAAAAAAGGCCGGGCGAAUAGGCCGGUCUAUUGACGGUACCUCCUUAGCAAGCACCGGCUAACUCUGUGCCAGCAGCCGCGGUAAGACAGAGGGUGCAAACGUUGCUCGGAAUUACUGGGCGUAAAGCGCGUGUAGGCGGGUCGGCAAGUCAGAUGUGAAAUCCCCAGGCUCAACCUGGGAACUGCAUUUGAAACUGCCGGUCUCGAGUGAUGGAGAGGAGAGCGGAAUUCCUGGUGUAGAGGUGAAAUUCGUAGAUAUCAGGAGGAACACCGGUGGCGAAGGCGGCUCUCUGGACAUCUACUGACGCUGAGACGCGAAAGCGUGGGGAGCAAACAGGAUUAGAUACCCUGGUAGUCCACGCCGUAAACGAUGAGUGCUAGGUGUCGCGGGUUUUGACCCCUGCGGUGCCGUAGCUAACGCAUUAAGCACUCCGCCUGGGAGGUACGGCCGCAAGGCUAAAACUCAAAGGAAUUGACGGGGGCCCGCACAAGCGGUGGAGCAUGUGGUUCAAUUCGACGCAACGCGCAGAACCUUACCUGGGUUGGAAGCCGUUGGAACCUUCUAGAAAUAGAGGGGUGCUCGCAAGAGAGCCAACGUUCAGGUGCUGCAUGGCUGUCGUCAGCUCGUGUCGCGAGAUGUUGGGUUAAGUCCCGCAACGAGCGCAACCCUUGUCCUUAGUUGCCAUCAGUUCGGCUGGGCACUCUAAGGAGACUGCCGGCGUCAAGCCGGAGGAAGGUGGGGAUGACGUCAAGUCCUCAUGGCCCUUAUAUCCAGGGCUACACACGUGCUACAAUGGUCGGUACAAAGCGCUGCGAACCCGCGAGGGGAAGCCAAUCGCAAAAAGCCGACCUCAGUACAGAUUGCAGUCUGCAACUCGACUGCAUGAAGUCGGAAUCGCUAGUAAUCCCUGAUCAGCAGGCAGGGGUGAAUACGUUCCCGGGCCUUGUACACACCGCCCGUCACACCAUGGGAGUCGAUUGCUCCAGAAGUGGCUGCGCCAACCCGCAAGGGAGGUAGGCCCCCAAGGAGUGGUCGGUAACUGGGGUG